GGGCCCGCACAAGCGGUGGAGCAUGUGGUUUAAUUCGAUGAUACGCGAGGAACCUUACCAGGGCUUAAAUGUAACGGGACAGAUCUAGAGAAUAGAUCCUUCUUCGGACUCAUUACAAGGUGCUGCAUGGUUGUCGUCAGCUCGUGCCGUGAGGUGUCAGGUUAAGUCCUAUAACGAGCGCAACCCCCAUCGUUAGUUGCCAACGAGUAAUGUCGGGAACUCUAACGAAACUGCCGGUGCAAACCGUGAGGAAGGUGGGGAUGACGUCAAAUCAUCACGGCCCUUACGUCCUGGGCUACACACGUGCUACAAUGGUCGGUACAGAGAGCAGCCACUACGCGAGUAGGAGCAAAUCUUCAAAGCCGAUCUCAGUUCGGAUCGCAGUCUGCAACUCGACUGCGUGAAGCUGGAAUCGCUAGUAAUCGCAGGUC
rnacentral:rRNA from 1 species